GGUCUCUGGCUCAGAGGAAGAGCCUCUGCUUUGCACACACAAGGCCGCAGGUUCAAUCCCUGGCAUCUCCU
rnacentral:tRNA from 1 species